CAGCAACGCAGGAUUUGGUAGGAACCAUGUUUGAACCUUCUUCGGAAAAGCGAUAUGAUGAUUGCAGUAAAAGUCACAGCGGAGAUUAACGAAGGAAUUUAUGAACUUUAUGAAAAAGUUUGUUAUUAGGGUGUUUUAUUCCGAAGCCUCAGAAUGCCAUAACUAUUGCCAUGUCCUCCCGUGCCCUCUUCAAUAUGGACCUAGAGCAGGAGAUCUAUGAGCAGCGGGGAAUGGAGGAGUACCUGAACCACCAGAGCCAACAUGAGAUUGAGCUUUUUGCACCUGGACCUGCUUUGAAAAACCUGCUCUAGCAUUAGAAUACUGACAUAUCCAUCAUUUAUAGUCUGAAAAGAAAAAAAUAGCAGUUUUAAACUAUAUGCAAUUUCUUAAGCAUAACAUAACUCAGACAUGCCAUUUGUUUGAUCACAAAAGAAGGAAAUAUUCAUAUCUGUAAUUCAAGCUACAGUAUAAAACUAGAUACUGUAAAAAAUGUCCAUAAUUUUAAUGGUAAAAGAAUGUAAAAUGCUACAGUAAAAAAAAAAAUGUAUUGGUUAUAUAGGGUUAAAAAUGGUAAUAUAUUUAACAAGACAACACGCGAUUUUACUGUAAAAUAUUAUAAAAAUUACAUUUUUAGAUGUAAAAAGUAUGAAUCCAUAUACCAUAUAUAAUUGAUGGUAAAAAUGUAUAUUAUGUUUAACAAGAGAAAACAUGUACUUUUUAAUGAUAAACUGUUGUUAAAAUUAUGGUGAAAAACUAUAAUCGGGCAUUCAAGUGCCUUCUUGACCCAUCACAUUUCAUUAUAUUUUAUGGGAAUAGUUAUGUUUCUUCUUAUUUUUAAUAUCAGUUAUGUACACUGGGGUGUUCUGUUAUAGUUUAUGUAGUUUAGUUGAUGUUUAAUGCAUUAUUUAAGUGUCACAUUUGUUACCCUAAUGGUGUUUUGUGUAUGUGUGGGUAACACUGUGUCUCUAAAUGUGUAUUAAUUAUUGCUCCUGGAAGGGCCGCUCUUAAUGAACUUUGUCGUCAUGUGGCCUUUUGUAGUUACUACGGUGAUUAACAAUGCAUUUUAAAGUGAAAAGUAGACUUUUAUAGAUCCAGAAGAUUAGUUUAUCAAGUUUACAGUGCAGUAUAUCAUUUAAUAAUAUAAACGUCAGUGAACUGUAAAACAUGGUCACCUUAUUUUUUUUACAGUAAAUUUCUG